rnacentral:rRNA from 1 species
GACGAACGCUGGCGGCGUGCUUAACACAUGCAAGUCGAACGGAAAGGCUUUGCUUUUGUGGGGUGUUCGAGUGGCGCACGGGUGUGUAACACGUGAGUAACCUGCCCUUGACUUUGGGAUAACUUCAGGAAACUGGGGCUAAUACCGGAUAUGAGCUCCUUCUGCAUGGUGGUGGUUGGUAAGUUUUGGCGGUUCGAGAUAGACUGGGGGUUUAUCAGCUUGUUGGUGGGGUAGUGGCUUACAAAGGCUUUGACGGGUAGCCGGCAUGAGAGGCUGACCGGCGACAAUAGGACUAAGGGAGGGACCAGAAUGGUACGGGAGGCAGUAGUGGAGAGUAUUACACAGUAGGGGGAAGCGUGAGGAAGCAACGCCGCGAGCGGGAUGACGGGCUUCGAGUGAAGAACCGCUUUGAGCGGUGAAAAAGCGCGAGUGAAGGUAAUGGGUAAAGAAGCACAGGCUAAAUAAGUG